ACGCACGCUGGCGGCGUGCUUAACACCUGCAAGUCGAACGGAAAGGCCCCUUUGGGGGUACUCGAGUGGCGAACGGGUGAGUAACACGUGAGUAACCUGCCCUUGACUUCGGGAUAACUUCAGGAAACUGGGGCUAAUACCGGAUAGGAAUCCUUGCUGCAUGGUGGGGGUUGGAAAGCUUCGGCGGUUUUGGAUGGACUCGCGGCUUAUCAGCUUGUUGGUGGGGUAGUGGCUUACCAAGGCUUUGACGGGUAGCCGGCCUGAGAGGGCGACCGGCCACAUUGGGACUGAGAUACGGCCCAGACUCCUACGGGAGGCAGCAGUGGGGAAGAUUGCACAAUGGGCGGAAGCCUGAUGCAGCAACGCCGCGUGCGGGAUGACGGCCUUCGGGUUGUAAACCGCUUUCAGCAGGGGCGAAGCUUGUGGUGACGGUACCUGCAGAAGAAGCACCGGCUAACUACGUG
rnacentral:rRNA from 1 species